UACACUUUUCUCCUAUCUUCAAGUGACGACUGAUGGCAGCGCGGUGGACGUUCAGUUGGUGAAUCCAU
rnacentral:rRNA from 1 species